GUCUUUCAGGCGACGCUGCCAGCGUAACGUAUAAUCUAGUGGACGGUUCUUCAGAAACAGCUCGUCAACCACCUCGGUAGCUUGCUAGCCAACAUAGCCGAAAGAUUCAAGCUAUUUAUACGCUUUCGAUGUAUAUUAGCUACUGUGUUUUAGACACACUUCUGUCGUAUCCACUUGUUAACCUAUUUAAUUUAAUAUUACGUUAUUUUGUAUUAGUCAGCAAUUGUAGCUGGCUGGUUAAAUUAGCACUAGUCUAGUCGCUAAUGAUAGCUAGCUAACACCCCCGACCAUGAGCUCUCUAAACUACUCCCCCCCUGUUAAAGAAGAGGGGAAAUGCUGAACAUUGUCGUGAAAGAGGAGGAGGAUGUCACAGUAAAACAAGAAGUAGACGGUGAGGCUGUUACAGUGGAAGAAUAAGAGAAAGACGUUUCAGUGAAAGAAGAGGAAUAUGCUGUUUUUGGAGAAGGAUGGGGAGAUUACUGUCACAUUGAAAGAUAAAGAGGUGGAGAUAUGAGAUCUGAUUCACACCACCUUCCUCUCCUCUGAAGACCCAGUGAGGGUGGAGCUCAGUCAGAGAGCUGUCGAGGGACUGGUUAUGAAGAACACUUUUACAGCCAGAGAGGUCACACAUGGUUUAGAUGUCAAGAAAUGGAACAGCAUGGCCACAGAACAUGACAUAGGCAGAGCUGUGGGAGACCACCUCAAGCCCCUGGUAGAGCCGGGGGUGGUGUUUACCACUCCACCACACCUUCAGCAGGCUGGGAAAGUGGGAUUGAUCUGUUUGAUCCAUUUGUUUGUUUCAGUUUUCAGUCGUUGAAUCCUUUGACGUAUUGUUGAUUUCAACAUUAUUCAUUUUCAACAAAUGCACUGGGUUGGUUGAAAAGUGAUACUUAACUUACAUACCAUGCACUAUAUUGACAUAGUGGCAGAUAUACUGAAUUGAUACUGUUUUUCAUACUAAGAUGGACCAUGCACUAUAUUGACAAGGUAGAAGAUAGCAUGACAAACAAUAUAAAUUCAGUCUAAGAUGGACCAAGAUAUGCCUUUGCACAUAUUUGUUCAUUGGUUUAGCAAGAGUCUGUUGAUUGGUUGGUUACUGGGUUAAUUUGUUUUGCUAUAUGAUCAGAUCAAGCUUUAUUUAUAUAGUACAUUUCAGACAUGGAUGCAACACAACGGCUUCACAGGAAAAAAACUAACUGAAAUAUUUAGUACACAACAAACAGAAACUUAACUGAAAGACUGAGCAUUUUAAGGAAAUGUCAUUGAUUAAAAUAUUAACAAUUGGAUCCAAUACAAAUUAUAAACUUGUUUUACUCCAUUGUUUGUUGUUACGUUCUUCAUCAAGAAAAUCAAAAAACUAAAGUCAAACUAAAUGUGACAUGAAUUGUAAAAAUAUUAAAAGCAAAUGGAAUGAAAUAAUAAAACGUAUCUUUGUCAGGCUGAAUGUUUGAAAUAUGAGGUGAUUCUAGUCAUGCUUCUUCAGUAUUGGACAUUUAGCACUUGAAUGUUGUCAAUAAAUACUGGAGUGAUGUAGGCUUGUUAAUAAAAUUGAUUAUAGACCAAUUCAUUAUACUGCGUCCAGGUGUUUAGGCUGCAACUAUGUUGAAAUUCAUUUAUCAAGUCAUUGAAAAAAGACCAGAAAAUAUUUUAAUUUAGUUUUUAUAAACAAAACACGACAACAUCAUACAAACAACAUCACACCUGCUCUUUUUUUGUUAGUCACUUUCUGUUAAUUUACAUAAAUAGUAAUAGAUGUAAACAGAUGGCUACAUUUUGAAGUGUUGCAUUUUGAUUCAAGAGCGUCACCAACGUGGUAAGUGUAACACAACUCUUUUUUUGUUAGUACAUUUUUGUUAAAUCACAUACUCUUUCAAUUCAGAGCCUGGAUUUUUCCCCUGAGGCUAAAAUCCAUAUCAUGCUGCAAUCAACAUAUCAAAUUGAACAGGGGGCAAACAUUGAGGGUGUUACAUUGUGACAUCAUUAAAAUACUCUUACUACCAUGUUAAAACAUUCUACAUUGUGACAUUCAUUCAAAUACUCCUACUACAAUGUUAAAACAUUCUACAUUGUGACAAUAUUUCAUUGAUAUCGUGAAACAACUCCUUCAUGUAUGUAUUUUCUGAUGUUUGAUUAGAUAUAUUUUAUCAGAGUAUCUCUUGUCACAUUGAUCAUAGCCAUAAGGUUUAUCUCAUGUGUGAGUCCACUGGUGUGAUAUCAGGCUGUUUGACUGAGUAAAAUUCUUCCCACAUUGAUUACAGCUAUGAGAUUUCUCUCCUGUGUAAUUCUUUGGUGUGAUUUCAGGCUGCUUGACUGAGUAAAACUCUUCCCACAUUGAUUACAGCUAUAAGAUUUCUCUCCUGUGUGUAUUCUCUGGUGUAUCUUCAGAUAGACAGAUGUAGCAAAACUCUUCCCACAUUGAGUACAGCUAUAUGAUUUCUCUCCUGUGUGUGUUAUCUGGUGUGAUAUCAGGCCGCUUGACUGAGUAAAACUCUUCCCACAUUGAUCACAGCCAUAAGGUUUCUCUCCAGUGUGUAUUCGCUGGUGUGAGUUCAAGUUGCUUGGCUUAGUAAAACUCUUCCCACAUUGAUCACAGCCAWAARGUUUCUSUCCAGUGUGAAUUCUCUGAUGUAUUUUAAGGUCUACUGAAGAGGUGAAUMUCUUCCCACAGUCAGAGCAGCAGUGAAGAUUCUUUCCAGUGUGUAUUCUCAGGUGUAGUUUAAGUGAAUCUGAUUUUAAGUAACUCUUCCCACAGUCAAAACAGUGGUGAGGUUUCUCUCCUGUGUGUACUCGCUGGUGUAUUCUCUUAAGUAGUUUAAGUGAAUCUGAUCUUGAGUAACUCUUCCCAGUCAGAGCAGUGGUGAGAUUUCUUCCCUGUGGGUCUCUGCAUGUGUUUCUUGAGGUGUUCUGAUCUGGAGAGACUCUUCUCUGCCUCGUCAGCAUCAUGAUGUUGUUGAAGAUCCACGAUUGUCCCGUCUCUCUCCUGUGUGAACAACAAAGUCAGACAGAUGGUUAAAGGCUCAAAACAGCAGAAAUCCACUGUUUAUUUGAGUUAAAAGGUGAUGCCCAGAGCGUACCCAUGAAGUUGUACAACAAUUGACGUCUGUUAAAUUAUUUGACAAAUGUCUUAAGACAGUCACGUGAGCAACAAUUUUGUAUUGUUUUCACAUCAGUAGUAAAAUCGAUGAUUGGAAGCUAGAAACAAGUUAUUAAAAUUGCUGAAACUCUAAGCAAUGUGCCAGACAACUUUUGGUCUCCAAUUUUGGCCCCUUUCUGUGUUUGCCGCACAAGGGAUAUGCACACGCAAUUUGGUUGCAGAAACUCCUCCAUGCUAAUGAGGAAACCGCAAAUUAUGGAUGUAGUAUAUCUGCUAAUGAGGAAACCACUAGUUAUGG
ensembl:lncRNA